GGGCAUAUAUGUGCUUACAUAGUAUAAAUACCGAUCAUUGCCACGAUAAAUGCCAAGUUGCAUGCCAAGCCACUGUUUUUGAAUAUGAAGUAGACGAUACUCCGAUCGAAUUUUACGACUUUUAUGUUCCUUUGGAAACUACCGAUGAAGAUACGAAUGAAGAGUAUAG